rnacentral:rRNA from 11 species
CUCACAGGACCUAGAUAACCUUAAAAACACCAGAUACCAUCUGAUCUUAGAAGAUGAGCAGGCUCAGCUCUGGUUAGUACUUGGAUGGGAGACUGCUAAUGAAUACCAACUGCUGUAGGC